GACAGAGGGUGCAAACGUUGUCCGGAAUUACUGGGCGUAAAGCGCGUGUAGGCUGCUCGGAAAGUCGGAUGUGAAAGCCCUGGGCUCAACCUAGGAAGUGCAUUCGAAACUUCCGAGCUGGAGUGCUGGAGAGGAAGGCGGAAUUCUCGGUGUAGAGGUGAAAUUCGUAGAUAUCGAGAGGAACACCGGUGGCGAAGGCGGCCUUCUGGACAGCCACUGACGCUGAGGCGCGAAAGCGUGGGGAGCAAACAGG
rnacentral:rRNA from 1 species